rnacentral:rRNA from 1 species
CCUACGGGGGGCAGCAGUGAGGAAUAUUGGUCAAUGGCCGUAAGGCUGAACCAGCCAAGUCGCGUGAAGGAAGAAGGAUCUAUGGUUUGUAAACUUCUUUUAUAGGGGAAUAAAGGUAUCCACGUGUGGAUAUUUGCAUGUACCCUAUGAAUAAGCAUCGGCUAACUCCGUGCCAGCAGCCGCGGUAAUACGGAGGAUGCGAGCGUUAUCCGGAUUUAUUGGGUGUAAAGGGUGCGUAGGUUGUAUUGUAAGUCAGUGGUGAAAGUCUGUGGCUCAACCAGAAAAUUGCCGUUGAAACUGGAAGACUUGAGUGUGGUUGAGGUAGGCGGAAUGCGUGGUGUAGCGGUGAAAUGCAUAGAUAUCACGCAGAACUCCGAUUGCGAAGGCAGCUUACUAGGCCAUAACUGACACUGAGGCACGAAAGCGUGGGGAGCGAACAGGAUUAGAUACCCGGGUAGUC